GCCUGUUUAUCAAAAACAUCGCUCCUUGUCCCCUAAAAAAUAAGGAGUCGGACCUGCCCGGUGAAAACUUUUAACGGCCGCGGUACUCUGACCGUGCAAAGGUAGCAUAAUCAUUUGCCUUAUAAUUAAAGGCUAGUAUGAAUGGUUUGACGAGAAUAUAGCUGUCUCUUUGUGAUUUUUAAGAAAUUUAUAUUUAGGUGAAGAAGCCUGAAUAACAUUAAAAGACAAGAAGACCCCAUCGAGCUUAAAAUAAGUUAGUAGACUUAAGUUUUUAAUACUUGGUAAAAAAUUGACUGCUAAAAAUUUUGGUUGGGGCGACUUAGGAACAGGAAAAGCUUCCUAUAAUAUUUUUAAGCAUACAAGCACUGACCCAGAAUAAUUCUGAUUAACGAAAUUAGUUACCGUGGGGAUAACAGCAUUAUCUUUUUUGAGAGCCCUAAUCGAAAAAAAGGUUUGUGACCUCGAUGUUGGACCAGAAUAUCCUAAAGAUGCAGCAGUCUUCAAGGGUUGGUCUGUUCGACCAUUAAAAUUCUACGUGAUCUGAGUUCA
rnacentral:rRNA from 1 species